rnacentral:rRNA from 1 species
GAGUUUGAUCGUGGCUCAGAUUGAACGCUGGCGGCAUGCCUUACACAUGCAAGUCGAACGGCAGCAUGAUCUAGCUUGCUAGAUUGAUGGCGAGUGGCGAACGGGUGAGUAAUACAUCGGAACGUGCCCUGUAGUGGGGGAUAACUAGUCGAAAGAUUAGCUAAUACCGCAUACGACCUGAGGGUGAAAGUGGGGGACCGCAAGGCCUCAUGCUAUAGGAGCGGCCGAUGUCUGAUUAGCUAGUUGGUGGGGUAAAGGCCCACCAAGGCGACGAUCAGUAGCUGGUCUGAGAGGACGAUCAGCCACACUGGGACUGAGACACGGCCCAGACUCCUACGGGAGGCAGCAGUGGGGAAUUUUGGACAAUGGGCGAAAGCCUGAUCCAGCAAUGCCGGGUGUGUG